UAAAAACUGAGCUCGCCAAACAUGUGAAUACAAAAUACUCCCAAUUAAACUCUAAACUUCCAACAUCUCCAAAUAAUCUUUAUAAUAUAACAACACUUUUAUAUUUUCAUAAUUGAAUAAAUCCUCAAUAGUAUGUUAGAUCCAUCAAUUAAUUGCAUUCAUUAUAUCUAUCAAGUCUUAAUGAACUAAUCAUAUCAACUGACUUCAAAUAUUUCAUAUUCAAUCAUUUAAUAAAUCUUAUUCUUCUCUCCAAAUAUAUACAUCAAAAUACUUUAUAAUUACAUACUUCAAUUAUAUUUCAAAUAACAUAAUAUCUGGAAAUGUAACAAUUAUACAUGCCAUAAUUCUUCAUUAUAUAAAUCUCAAUCGACUACUCCCAAAUUAGUCACUUCUGCUUUGAUACUAUUCUUCUAAUCUUCAAGUAGCAACAACAUCUUCAACCUACGCGUGAUAAAAAUCGACGCGCUGAGUAUAAAACUCAGUGGUGCUCAUAAUUCACAUACUUACCAAGUUGCGAUAGCAACUUACUUUAAAACAAAUUUCAUAAAAUUAUUUACAAUCAUAAAUGCAUUAAAAUUCAACAUACAUUUCCAUUUAUAGCAAAACAAAUAGCACAUAUACUAGUAAUUAAUAACAUAAAGAAUUUAAUUCUUUAUACCAUAAAUCCUUUACUUAAGACAUUUUAUCAUCAUAAAUACUUUGGUUCCUUCAAAUAAACUUAUAAUUAAUAACAUAAAUAAUUCUUUCAAAUCAUAAAUUCAUUACUUAAACAUUAUACCAAUACAUAUACUCUUUAUUUUUAAUACCAUGUACCGAAAUAUUAUGCUUUGAAAAUUCAUUUGAUAACAUAAUCAGUAAUUUCCAAAGUAAUGUUUACUAAAAUAAUAUGAUCUCAUUCGUUUAAUUAUAUUACAGAUAUUUUCCA
rnacentral:lncRNA from 1 species